UGGGGAAUUUUGGACAAUGGGCGAAAGCCUGAUCCAGCAAUGCCGCGUGUGUGAAGAAGGCCUUCGGGUUGUAAAGCACUUUUGUCCGGAAAGAAAUCCUUGGCUCUAAUACAGUCGGGGGAUGACGGUACCGGAAGAAUAAGCACCGGCUAACUACGUGCCAGCAGCCGCGGUAAUACGUAGGGUGCAAGCGUUAAUCGGAAUUACUGGGCGUAAAGCGUGCGCAGGCGGUUUGCUAAGACCGAUGUGAAAUCCCCGGGCUCAACCUGGGAACUGCAUUGGUGACUGGCAGGCUAGAGUAUGGCAGAGGGGGGUAGAAUUCCACGUGUAGCAGUGAAAUGCGUAGAGAUGUGGAGGAAUACCGAUGGCGAAGGCAGCCCCCCUGGGGCCAAAUACUGACGCUCAUGCACGAAAGCGUGGGGGAGCAAACAGGAUUAGAUACCCUGGUAGUCCACGCCCUAAACGAUGUCAACUAGUUGUUGGGGAUUCAUUUCCUUAGUAACGUAGCUAACGCGUGAAGUUGACCGCCUGGGGAGUACGGUCGCAA
rnacentral:rRNA from 1 species